AUGAUUUUGGGUUGUGAAAAAACAGAGUAUCCGCAUUUCGUUAAAAUAAAAUUGGUUUUCAACCGUAAGGAAUCAGAGAGAGUGUUCUACAUGAAAAAGUUGCGCUUCAUCGGUAUCUUUCUAAUGGCAUAUAAUUCAGAUCAUUUCGACCAGCGGUUUGCAAAAAUCACGAAAAACGUUCGCUACCUCCCGUCGUCAGCCGCACGAUUUUCAAAAUUAACUAAAAACCGUAAGGAAUCUCAAAAAUACUCCAAUAUACGAAAGGUGAGCCUUGUCCGUAGCUUUCCAACAAUGUAUCAUACUCCUCAUUCCGGCAAAUGGUGCAAAAAAUGGAGCUAA
rnacentral:rRNA from 1 species